rnacentral:rRNA from 1 species
UACAUGGGGUGCAAACGUUGCUCGGAAUUAUUGGGCGUAAAGCGCACGUAGGCGGUUCGUUAAGUCGGAUGUGAAAGCCCUCGGCUCAACUGAGGAAGUGCACCCGAAACUGGCGAGCUUGAGUACGAAAGAGGAUCGCGGAAUUCCCGGUGUAGAGGUGAAAUUCGUAGAUAUCAGGGAGGAACACCGGUGGGCGAAGGCGGGGUCUCUGGGCCGAUACUGACGCUGGAGGA